AUGAACGCUGGCGGCGUGCCUAAUACCUGCAAGUCGAGCGAACAGACGAGGAGCUUUCUCCUCUGACGUUAGCGGCGGACGGGUGAGUAACACGUGGAUAACCUACCUAUAAGACUGGGAUAACUUCGGGAAACCGGAGCUAAUACCGGAUAAUAUAUUGAACCGCAUGGUUCAAUAGUGAAAGACGGUUUUGCUGUCACUUAUAGAUGGAUCCGCGCCGCAUUAGCUAGUUGGUAAGGUAACGGCUUACCAAGGCAACGAUGCGUAGCCGACCUGAGAGGGUGAUCGGCCACACUGGAACUGAGACACGGUCCAGACUCCUACGGGAGGCAGCAGUAGGGAAUCUUCCGCAAUGGGCGAAAGCUUGACGGAGCAACGCCGCGUGAGUGAUGAAGGUCUUCGGAUCGUAAAACUCUGUUAUUAGGGAAGAACAAAUGUGUAAGUAACUAUGCACGUCUUGACGGUACCUAAUCAGAAAGCCACGGCUAACUACGUG
rnacentral:rRNA from 1 species